AUUGAACGCUGGCGGCAUGCCUUACACAUGCAAGUCGAACGGUAACGGGCCUUCGUUUUCCGACGCGUGGCGAACGGGUGAGUAAUACAUCGGAACGUGCCCUAUCCUUGGGGAUAACGAGGCGAAAGCUUUGCUAAUCCCGCAUACGAUCUACGGAUGAACUCCGUGGACCGCAAUGCCUUGCUCCGACGGAGCGGCCGAUGGCGGAUUAGGUUGUUGGUGGGAUAAAAGCUUACCAAGCCGACGAGCUGUAGCUGGUCUGAGAGGAGGAUGAGCCACACUGGGACUGAGACACGGCCAAGACUACUAAGGGAGGCAGCAGUGGGGAAUGUUGGACAAAGGGCGCAAGCAUGAUCCAGCGAGGCCGAGUGCAGGAUGAAGGCCUUCGGGUUGUAAACUGCUUUUGUACGGAACGAAAAGCCUUCGUUUAAGACAGGAGGGUAAUGACGGUACCGUAAGAAUAAGCACCGGCUAACUACGUG
rnacentral:rRNA from 1 species